GAUGAACGCUGGCGGCGUGCCUAAUACAUGCAAGUCGAGCGAACAGACGAGGAGCUUGCUCCUCUGACGUUAGCGGCGGACGGGUGAGUAACACGUGGAUAACCUACCUAUAAGACUGGGAUAACUUCGGGAAACCGGAGCUAAUACCGGAUAACAUGUUGAACCGCAUGGUUUAACAGUGAAAGACGGUCUUGCUGUCACUUAUAGAUGGAUCCGCGCCGCAUUAGCUAGUUGGUAAGGUAACGGCUUACCAAGGCAACGAAGCGUAGCCGACCUGAGAGGGUGAUCGGCCACACUGGAACUGAGACACGGUCCAGACUCCUACGGGAGGCAGCAGUAGGGAAUCUUCCGCAAUGGGCGAAAGCCUGACGGAGCAACGCCGCGUGAGUGAAGAAGGUCUUCGGAUCGUAAAACUCUGUUAUUAGGGAAGAACAAAUGUGUAAGUAACUAUGCACGUCUUGACGGUACCUAAUCAGAAAGCCACGGCUAACUACGUG
rnacentral:rRNA from 1 species